UACAUAGGGGGCGAGCGUUAUCCGGAAUUAUUGGGCGUAAAGCGUGCGUAGGCGGUUUGUUAAGUUCGAUGUUAAAUCCCACAGCUUAACUGUGGAGUGUCAUUGGAAACUGGCAAACUUGAGUACGGUAGAGGUAAGUGGAAUUCCAAGUGGAGCGGUGGAAUGCGUAGAUAUUUGGAGGAACACCAGUGGCGAAGGCGGCUUACUGGGCCGGAACUGACGCUGAGGCACGAAAGCGUGGGGAGCAAACAGG
rnacentral:rRNA from 1 species